rnacentral:sRNA from 1 species
CCGAGUUCAUGCCCUCGCGGGUAGAUCUCCCACCCUAUGUUAUUUAUUACCUUUGUUGCUUUGGCGGGCCGUCAGGCUUCGGUCAGGCUACCGGCUCUGGCUGGUAAGCGCCCGCCAGAGAAUCCCAAACUCUGAAAUGUUAGUGUCGUCCGAGUACUAUCUAAUAGUUAAAACUUUCAACAACGGAUCUCUUGGUUCUGGCAUCGAUGAAGAACGCAGCGAAAUGCGAUAAGUAAUGUGAAUUGCAGAAUUCAGUGAAUCAUCGAAUCUUUGAACGCACAUUGCGCCCCUUGGUAUUCCGAGGGGCAUGCCUGUUCGAGCGUCAUUACACCCCUCAAGCACUGCUUGGUAUUGGGCUCCGCGGCUUACCCCGCAGGCCUUAAAAUCAGUGGCGGCGUCUUCAGGCUCUGAACGUAGUAAAUAUUCCUCGUUACGGAGUCCUGGCGGCGGUAGUCAUCAACCCCCAACUUUCUUAAGUUUGACCUCGGAUCAGGU